GAGGCCUUCUGGGGAGGGAGGGGCUGGGGGGAGAGCGUCCUGUUCGCCCACUGACUGGCCCCUCUGUCCAGGUUUCCUGUGUGGUCAAGCCUUGAAGGUCAGUGUGAGGUUCCUCUGGCAGCUGGAAACACGGUCGGCUUUCAGGCCCUGAGGAAUUCACGCGAGUGACGUCAGGGCCGCCUGCCUGGGACGGAGUGGGUGUUUGUUUAUUGAGGCGUGUGCCGUCCGCCUUGCUGUGUUAGGAGUGACGGUUUAUAGGGGGUCUCAGCCAAGAACUCAGUAGGGUAGCGGGAAAGUUAUUUUUCCUCCCCUGCAUGACAACAGCUCCGGGGACCUCGAGGCCCCUCCCCACCCAGUGGCUGGCCGGUGGCUGCACGUGAGUGCGCUCUGCGGGCUGUACCCUGGCCCGGCGUCUCAGCCCAGGAUUUGGGAGCAUUAGUGUCGGUGGAAAUUAAAGCCAGGGUGGGAGCCUCAGGCCAGAAGGCUGAGGCCCUGGACAGCGUCCCAGAGCAGGGGGAAGAGAAAGCCCUGCAGCGUCUCAGAGGAGGAGGAGGAAUAGUAAGUCCCAGGUGGCCUGGGGACAAGAGCCGGCUGCUGCCCUGCCCGGGGCCGCCGUGUAGGGGAGAGAGAACAGGAACGAGCCUCUUAGGCUUGAUCCCUCUGUCCUUGUCCAGACUUCUCCCCAGCGGCUUGGCCUUGGCUCUGUACACCCCAUCUUUCCCAGGAGCUUCAGCGAGGAAACUGUCAGAGAACAACGUUCUUCUGGGAUGGGACCCCCCGGGGGGGGGGGGGGGGAGUAGCAGGACCUGGCAGGGAGCAGGGGUCCAGGGAGCAAGGCUUAAUGACCAUGUCAUCAUUAAGAAGACAGCAAUAGCUUCGUCCUAGGUUGGUCGUCCUAGGUUGGUCGCAGUUCCAGUUCGGCCACCUAGUAGCCAUGUGAUCUUAAAGGAGAACAUGAGUUAACCUGACUGAAUUUCAGUUUCAUCAUCUGCAAAAUGGGAAUAAUAAUUGCCUUGCAAAAUUAUGCAGAUUUAGAAAUGAGGAAUGUAGAAUGCACAGUCAAUAGUAAAUGCUGUUGCUACUGAAACCAGACUCGCCUUGAAACCAAGUACCUCUGCCAAGCUUAUGAUUAACCUCUCUGCAAAACUUGAUUCCCUGUCUUGUCCCGCACUCUUCCCCUCUGGGUUGAGGAAUAUCAAAGGGGGGACUGAAACCUAGCGGACUGGCAAGGACCUCCCAGGUACAAAAAGCCUUUCAGGGUCCCCCACUUCUUGUUUGUAGAAAAAGGCUUUAGUCUCUGAGGCCUGGGUUCCAAAGAGCAGAUGCAAGCAGUUUGCUAAUUAGGGAAGUGAGAGAGAGCAGAAACAAGGAAAAAGCAGUUAAGAAGGAACAGUUAAGUGAUAAAACAGAGUCUUCGGGCUAUGUGUAACAAUCUGACACAUCUCUCUGAGUUGUUCAGCAGGAACUAAGGCCCCUGUGCAGGGGGAGGUCAAGCCGGGCACAAGCGCGCACAUCCCAGACAGGUUGGAACCCGAAGGUUGGUGAAGAUUCCUGAAUUAUUGAAAGGAUGAAAAUGCAACCUGACCCUCCCAGAACCCAGGAAGUUAAUAAGAAGCUCUAAAUGCCCUCACCCUGUUCCCUAUAGGUAAAAGAUCAUACUUUUUGCUGUUUUAAGGCUUGCUUUCUGUACAUUCUCAGGCCGCCCCUGAGAAUGUGCCUCUAUGCAUAAAACUUACUAACUGCUUGUUUGGCUUCUGUAAAGCUGCUUGCAUAAGAUAAAAAGAGGAGAAGUUAAUCGCCUAAACAACCCCAGUAAGAUCGGGUGCGCCACAAAAUGUUGAAAAUCCUGAUAAAUAUAUCUUGGUGACAAUAUGUCUCCCCCACCCAGGGACAGGCACAAACACGUAACUCCAGAACAACUUAAAAUUAAUUCGUCCACAAAGCGUGGGCUCUCGAAGUUUUGAAUUGACUGGUUUGUGAUAUUUUAAAAUGAUUAGUUUGUAAAAGCGCGGGCUUCGUUGUGAACCCCAUAAAAGCUGUCCCGACUCCACACUCGGGACCGCAGUCCUCUACCCCUGCGUGGCGUAUGACUGUGGGCCCCAGCGCGCUUGGAAUAAAAAUCCUCUUGCUGUUUGCA